rnacentral:rRNA from 1 species
GAUGAACGCUGGCGGCGUGCCUAAUACAUGCAAGUCGAGCGAAUGGAUUGAGAGCUUGCUCUUAUGAAGUUAGCGGCGGACGGGUGAGUAACACGUGGGUAACCUGCCCAUAAGACUGGGAUAACUCCGGGAAACCGGGGCUAAUACCGGAUAACAUUUUGAACCGCAUGGUUCGAAAUUGAAAGGCGGCUUCGGCUGUCACUUAUGAAUGGACUCGCGUCGCAUUAGCUAGUUGGUGAGGUAACGGCUAACCAAGGCAACGAUGCGUGGCCGACCUGAGAGGGUGAUCGGCCACACUGGGACUGAGACACGGCCCAGACUCCUACGGGAGGCAGCAGUAGGGAAUCUUCCGCAAUGGACGAAAGUCUGACGGAGCAACGCCGCGUGAGUGAUGAAGGCUUUCGGGUCGUAAAACUCUGUUGUUAGGGAAGAACAAGUGCUAGUUGAAUAAGCUGGCACCUUGACGGUACCUAACCAGAAAGCCACGGCUAACUACGUGCCAGCCGCCGCCGUAA